UCUAGUAUGGAUCGCCAGGUAGACCAU
rnacentral:piRNA from 1 species